UCGGGAAUUUUGGGCAAUGGGGGAAACCCUGACCCAGCAACGCCGCGUGAAGGAUGAAGUAUUUCGGUAUGUAAACUUCGAAAGAAUAGGAAGAAUAAAUGACGGUACUAUUUAUAAGGUCCGGCUAACUACGUGCCAGCAGCCGCGGUAAUACGUAGGGACCAAGCGUUGUUCGGAUUUACUGGGCGUAAAGGGCGCGUAGGCGGCAUGACAAGUCACUUGUGAAAUCUCUGGGCUUAACCCAGAACGGCCAAGUGAUACUGUCGCGCUAGAGUGCAGAAGGGGCAAUCGGAAUUCUUGGUGUAGCGGUGAAAUGCGUAGAUAUCAAGAGGAACACCUGAGGUGAAGACGGGUUGCUGGGCUGAUACUGACGCUGAGGCGCGAAAGCUAGGGUAGCAAACGGGAUUAGAUACCCCAGUAGUCCCUGAGCGGGCUGGCAAGGCGCAU
rnacentral:rRNA from 1 species